GAUGAACGCUGGCGGCGUGCCUAAUACAUGCAAGUCGAGCGAACAGACGAGGCGCUUGCUCCUCUGACGUUAGCGUCGGACGGGUGAGUAACACGUGGAUAACCUACCUAUAUGACUGGGAUAACUUCGGGAAACCGGAGCUAAUACCGGCUAAUAUAUUGAACCGCAUGGUUCAAUAGUUAAAGACGGUUUUGCUUUCACUUAUAGAUGAAUCCGCGCCGGAUUAGCUAGUUGGUAAGGUAACGGCUUACCAAGGCAACGAUGCGUAGCCGAUCUGAGAGGGUGACCAGCCACACUGGAACUGAGACACGGUCCAGACUCCUACGGGAGGCAGCAGUGGGGAAUAUUGCAAAAUGGGCGAAAGCCUGAUGGAGCAAUGCCGCGUGUAUGAAGAAGGCCUUCGGGUUGUAAAAUACUUUUAGCGGGGAAGAAGAAAGUAAAAAUAAAACCUUAGCGCAUUGACGGUACCCACAGAAAAAGCAACGGCUAACUACGU
rnacentral:rRNA from 1 species